rnacentral:rRNA from 1 species
GACGUAGGGCGCGAGCGUUGUCCGGAUUUAUUGGGCGUAAAGAGCUCGUAGGCGGCUUGUCGCGUCGAAUGUGAAAACCUGCAGCUCAACUGCAGGCUUGCAUUCGAUACGGGCAGGCUCGAGUUCGGUAGGGGAGACUGGAAUUCCCGGUGUAGCGGUGAAAUGCGCAGAUAUCGGGAAGAACACCCGUGGCGAAGGCGGCUCUCUGGGCCGUUACUGACGCUGAGGAGCGAAAGCGUGGGGAGCGAACAGG